rnacentral:rRNA from 1 species
UACGGAGGAUGCGAGCGUUAUCCGGAUUUAUUGGGUUUAAAGGGUGCGUAGGCGGACUGUCAAGUCAGCGGUAAAAUUGAGAGGCUCAACCUCUUCCCGCCGUUGAAACUGGUGGUCUUGAGUGGAUGUGAAGUACGCGGAAUGCGUGGUGUAGCGGUGAAAUGCAUAGAUAUCACGCAGAACUCCGAUUGCGAAGGCAGCGUACCGGCAUCCAACUGACGCUGAGGCACGAAAGCGUGGGGAUCAAACAGG